GAAGAAGAUGCAGAAGUCGGUCUUGCAGAAUGGGUUAAAGGGAAGAAGCCGAUUGUUGGAGGUAUGCCCUAGAGGCAAUCAUAGAGAUGAUGAUAUUCCACUUGUAUCCAUGAUUUGAAUAUUGUGUUCAUUGAAUAUCCAUUAAAGGCUACUUGAAUUGAUUUACAAUUAUGUGAAUUGUAUGUGAAACUCUUUACUUGUAUGGUUAUUCUAAAGUUGUCCCUAGUCGGAGUUCAUGUGAGGACACACAUGAAUAUUAGACUAGCACAUGUAUUAGUUGAUGACUAUGUUUCACAAGUCAUGGACAUGAAGAUGUUGAACUAAUAAUGUGGACACAUGUGGAGACAUGUGUUAGGACUGACCCAACACGAGAAGUAGUUCUCUCUUUAAACAACAUAUACGCUUUGUCCUUAGACCUGAGAUUGUCGCAUGUAUUCUAGAUGUGGAUCGACCUACUUAGGGGCUAUCAAACGCUACGCCGUAACAGGGUAGUUAUAAAGGUAGCUUUCGGGUUUGUCAAGAAGCAUGCUAUGAGACAUGGUCAAUCAAGAAGGGAUUUGCCCCUCUCUGCUUGAGAGUGAUAUCUCUGGGCCCCUCGAGUGAUCGGAUCCGGAAAUGCAUGGCCAUGCUACGUACGGUUAAGAGUUAACCUACAAAGGGAUUCCGAAUCACAGGAUCGAGAAAGAGCGGUCGGCUUGAAGCUAGACCAAAUAUCGUGAGGCAAAGGGAAUAGCAUGUAUAUUAUGUUGUGAUGGUUCGUCUGAUAUGAUCUUCGUGUGCGUAUAGGAGUUGGCACGUCUUGCUAGAGGCCGCUACCGACUAUUGGGCCGAGUAGGAGUACUCGGGCCAUGUCUAUACGUAUCCGAACCCAAAGGGUCGCACACUUAAGGGGCUGGAAGCCCAAUUCGGAUUUGAUCCGAGUUGGAUUAGGUUUAGGAGUACUAAUGGGCCUCGGAUCCAGAGGCCCAUCAGGAACCUCUAUAAAUAGAGGGGUGGGGGCGCCCUAGGGUUGACACCUUUUGGCAAAACACACUUGCCGCGCCUCCCACGCCCUCGCCUGUUGCAACUCGCGGAUCUAGCAAUCCGGCUUGCGACGCUUCCUCCCUGCACGUGUGGAUACCUUGGAGGUGUUGCGCCUGCAGCACUUGGACGAGCCGCCGACGAGCCACGACGAGCCGACGACGAGCUGCGGUACCGGAGGCGAUCUUGCUGUGCACGUGGACGAGCUGCUGAGGAGCUGCUGCACGUGAUCGACUACGUACGACUACGUGAUCGUCUUCACUGCACCGACGCAUAUCUACAUCUUCCGCACCAGUAGUGCGUCGAGUGGUAAUCCCGUGAUCCUUAUACGGCAGUUCUUCCUGGUUAUACGCGGUAGAAAAUUUUGAUUUGCGCUAGUGUAGCCUACCUCGUAUCCCUACAGUGGUAUCAGAGCCGUAGCUGCUUAGUUUUGGAUUCGGGAUGUGUGCAUAUGGAGAUAUGCGAGUUCUCUGUUUGAUCUAUGUCCUGAUUUCGUGCCCUUGCUGCAAUGGUAGUGUAACGACAUACUCCUACCGGUCGGUUUCCGCCAUCGGAGUUAAGUGAUACACGUAAAUCCAGUUGCAGUGAGGGAAGAUCAAUAUGAUUGGUCAAAUCGAGAUCCAGGGUCAUACGCCAGGCGCAUUAGAUGUGCAAUAGUAGAUAGGAUCUACUGCCGGGGUCGGGAUGUUGCCGUAUGCGUAUGCUUCGGUAAAUCAGCUGUAACUUUUCGGUACGAUCUCGGAUCGAGGCGAUUUCUAUAUGAAAAUUGAUCUACAGAAAAAGUUACACGUGAAUUUCAACCGCUCCGCCGUUUUCGGCGAAAUUAGAUUUGCCAAAUUCGGCUUGGAAGAUGGAGUUUCGGGCCUCCGAAGUUUGGAACGUUAGGACGCCUAACUCUAUUUUGCAGGAUGUAUGCAUGUAUCUUGUGAUCAGUAUGGCCCCCUUGUGUAUGUGAUGCAUGUGUGUAACUAAUUCGUGACCUGCGUGUCGCGCGUACGGCAACACGGCAGGAGCCAUAUGUGUUGUCACUUUAUUGUAAUUAAUGGUCUGCGUACCAAUCUGUGAUGAUCCAAGCAACUAUGUAAUCUUCAUUACUAGAUUCUUUACUAGCUAUUAGGCGUAAUAGCAUGCUCUAGUUCUUGGAGGACUCAUCACCAGGAGGAUGGCGCACAUGGAACAUGGAGAUGGAGAUCACCAUGGUGAACAGGUUCAAUGGAGAUGGAGAUCACCAUAAGAAAAACGGGCCAUACUGUGUCACAACUGUGUGAAUGCUAUUCUGUUUAUGUUUUACUUUCUGCAUGCUGUGAUGUUAGAAGUAGAACGAUCCCUCACAAAGUUUAAGUUAGUAUGCCCUCCCAACUAAAACUUGCACCGUCCCAUGUCUUGUACAAUUAGUGGUGGGUCUAUGAAAUUAGGGUGCCACUAGUUUUCCUUGACUAGACGGGUCUGUGUCGGACACUUACACGCAUAAGGGUUGGUUUGCUUAACGAGGUCAUCUUAACGGUUAAGGACCUUGGGGCAUAAAGGUUGGGCGCCGAGACAUAGAGAUGUCACCCAACAACAGGAGUCAUAUGUGAUAUGAUUAGCAAAAGUUGCUUACCGAUCUACCUCGUUUGCUAGCGGUGAUGCUAAAGCUCACUAGUGGACUUGUUAGUUGUGGAUCCUGAAUCACUAAGUUUCAAUAGAGGGAUAUUGAUUUUAGUGGGAGUAGAUUCUGUUAAAAUAGUUUAAUGUAAUUUGCUCUAUCAUGGAUACGUUUGUCUUAGUGUAUUUUGCAUUACUUUUGUUGUAGAUUAAAUGGCACCUAGCAACACCACCACAUCGUUUGCUUUGCGUUCGGUCCUUGAGAAGGACAAGUUGAAUGGAACAAACUACUCGGAUUGGAUCCGCAACCUGAGAAUUGUUCUCAGGGUUGAGAAAAAGGAAGAUGUUCUAGACAACCCACUACCAGAAGAACCUGCUGAGGAUGCACCCGCUGCUGCUAAGAAUGCUUACAAGAAAGCAUGUGAUGCUAACCUCGAAGUAAGCUGCCUUAUGCUUGCUUGCAUGGAACCCGAGCUGCAGAUGCAAUUCGAAACAAACCAUGAGGCGCACGAUAUGAUCGUGGCGCUUAGAGACAUGUUCCAAACACAGGCCAGGACUGAAAGGUUCAAUGUGUCUAAGGCCUUUGUUGAGAGCAAGCUAGCAGAAGGCGCAGCAGUAGGACCACACGUAAUCAAGAUGGUUGGUUACACUCAACGGUUGGAGAAGCUAGGCUUCCCACUGGGCCAAGAGUUGGCCACUGAUUUCAUUCUUUCGUCUCUUCCUCCUAGCUAUGGGAACUUCAUCUCGAACUACCAUAUGCAUGGGACGGAGAAGGGUCUGAAUGAGCUGUGUGGCAUGCUUAAAACAGCAGAGGCUGACAUAAAGAAAAGCGCUAGUACCAGCCAUGUGAUGGCGAUACAGAACAAGCCCAGCUUUAAGAAGAAGGGCAAUUCUUGGAAGAAGAAGGGCAAGGCUGGAACGUCCAAGCCAAACCCACCGCCCAAGGUUAAAGCUGGACCUGGACCUGCUCCAGAUAAAGAGUGCUUUUACUGUCAUGAACUUGGUCACUGGAAGAGAAACUGCAAGCAGUACCUAGCUUCGUUGAAGAACGGCGGAAGUAAGAGUACUUCUACCUCAGGUACGCUUGUUGUUUAUGUUAUAGACAACAUAUUUCUCGCUGAUACAGUUAUUAAUUCUUGGGUAUUUGAUACCGGAUCGGUUGCUCAUAUUUGCAAUUCGAUGCAGGGAAUGAUAAGAAGUAGAAGCGUGGAAAGAGGAGAAGUUGAUUUCCGCGUGGGCAAUAAUGCAAGAGUUGCUGCUUUGACCGUCGGGACGAUGCAACUCCACCUCCCGUCAGGAUUUAUUAUGGAGUUGAAUAAUUGUUAUUUUGUUCCUAGUUUAAGUCGAAACAUUUUAUCUCCUUCAUGUUUGAUGAAGGAUGGUUAUUCAUUUGCGAGUGAAAACAAUGGUUGUGUGAUCUCUAAGAAUAAUAUGUUUAUGGCUUUUGCACCCAUUGUGAAUGGAUUAUUUGUUUUAAAUCUUGAUGGUUCACCUGUCUGUAAUGUAAGUGCUAAAAGGCCUCGGCCUAAUGAUUUGAGUCCUACCUACUUGUGGCAUUGUCGUUUGGGUCAUAUAAGUGAAAACCGCAUGAAGAAGCUCCAUUCUGAUGGACUUCUAACUUCGUUUGAUUUUGAAUCAUACGAGACAUGUGAGGCUUGCUUGCUAGGCAAGAUGACCAAGACGCCUUUCACAGGAUUUCCUGAGAGAGCAGUAGACUUGUUGGAACUCGUACAUAGUGAUGUAUGCGGACCAAUGAGCACGACGGCUAGAGGAGGAUUCCAAUACUUCAUAACUUUCACUGAUGAUUUUAGUAGAUAUGGCUAUGUCUACUUGAUGAGGCACAAGUCUGAAACCUUUGAAAAGUUCAAGGAAUUUUAGAAUGAAGUUGAAAAUCAGCGUGGCAAGAAAAUUAAGGCCUUACGAUCUGAUCGUGGAGGCGAAUAUUUGAGCCAUGAGUUUAGCAAUCAUCUAAAGAGUUGCGGAAUUUUUCCACAACUUACGCCGCCUGGAACACCUCAGAGAAACGGUGUGUCCGAGCGACGUAAUCAAACUUUGUUAGACAUGGUUCGAUCAAUGAUGAGCCAGUCGGACCUACCGUUGUCAUUUUGGAGAUACGCUCUAGAAACAGCAGCUUUCACACUUAAUAGGGUACCAUCUAAAUCCGUAGUUAAGACACCAUAUGAGAUAUGGACUGGAAAGGUUCCUAGUUUGUCUUUUCUAAAGAUUUGGGGAUGUGAAGUGUUUGUCAAGCGACUUCAGUCGGAAAAGAUCACACCCAAGUCGGAUAAGUGCAUUUUCGUGGGAUAUCCAAAGGAAACAUUGGGGUAUUAUUUCUACAACCGAUCAGAAGGCAAAGUGUUUGUCGCUCGGAACGGGGUUUUCCUAGAGAAAGAGUUUCUCAAAGGAGAAAAGAGUGGAAAGACAGUGCAUCUUGAAGAAGUUCAAGAUGAGCCAAUCGGGCAAGAAUCAAUGAGUGAUGCUAACGUAGCAGAACAAGUUGAGAUACCCAUGGCAAGAGAAGCACCGCCACAACCACGAAGGUCAGCAAGGCUCCGCGAAAUGCGGGAAAUAUUAUUGUUGGACAAUGAUGAGCCUGCGACAUAUGCAGAAGCAAUGAUGGACCCAGACUCCGAAAAAUGGCAGAGUGCCAUGCAAUCCGAAAUAGAGUCCAUGGGAGACAAUCAAGUUUGGAACUUGGUUGACCCGCCUGAUGGUGUUAAAGCCAUAGAGUGCAAGUGGAUCUAUAAGAAGAAAAAGGACAUGGAUGGAAAUGUUCACAUCUAUAAAGCACGACUUGUCGCAAAAGGUUUUCGACAAGUUCAAGGAGUUGACUACGACGAGACCUUCUCGCCCGUAGUGAUGCUUAAGUCCAUUCGGAUUAUUCUAGCUAUAGCUGCAUAUUUCGAUUAUGAGAUAUGGCAGAUGGAUGUCAAGACAGCUUUCCUGAAUGGAAACCUAGCUGAGGACGUGUAUAUGAUACAGCCCGAGGGUUUUGUCGAUCCGAAAAAUGCUGGAAAGGUAUGCAAGCUUCAGAGAUCCAUUUAUGGAUUGAAGCAAGCAUCUAGGAGUUGGAACAUUCGUUUUGAUGAAGUGGUCAAAGGGUUUGACUUCACCAAGAACGAAGAAGAGUCUUGUGUUUACAAGAAGGUUAGUGGGAGCUCUGUAGUAUUUCUAAUCUUAUAUGUGGAUGACAUAUUACUGAUUGGAAAUAACAUUCCUAUGCUUGAGUCCGUAAAGACUUCACUGAAAAAUAGUUUUUCGAUGAAGGACUUAGGGGAAGCGGCAUAUAUUCUGGGCAUUAAGAUCUAUAGAGAUAGAUCGAGAAGGCUUAUAGGUUUGAGCCAAGAUACUUAUAUUGACAAAGUGUUGAAGCGGUUCAGCAUGGAAGAGGCAAAGAAAGGGUUCUUGCCUAUGUCACAUGGCAUACAUCUCAGCAAGACUCAGUGUCCUUCGACUGCUGAUGAGCGGGAUCGCAUGAGUAGAGUGCCAUAUGCCUCGGCUAUUGGAUCUAUCAUGUAUGCAAUGAUAAGUACUCGCCUAGAUGUUUCAUAUGCACUAAGUAUGACAAGCAGACACCAAUCUGAUCCAGGUGAGAGUCACUGGACAGCGGUGAAAAACAUUCUUAAGUACUUGAGAAGGACUAAAGAUAUGUUCCUCGUCUAUGGAGGUCAGGAGGAGCUCGUUGUAACAGGUUACACCGAUGCUAGUUUCCAAACCGACAGAGAUGAUUCAAAGUCACAAUCAGGAUUUGUGUUCAUGCUAAAUGGUGGUGCUGUUAGUUGGAAGAGUUCCAAGCAGGAGACGGUGGCCGAUUCUACGACAGAAGCCGAGUACAUCGCGGCUUCGGAAGCCGCGAAGGAAGGUGUUUGGAUAAGGAAUUUCCUAAUUGAGCUUGGUGUGUUCCCGAAUGCGUCCAGCCCAUUGAAUCUCUACUGUGAUAAUAAUGGGGCAAUUGCGCAAGCAAAGGAGCCAAGGAACCACCAGAACAACAAACACGUAAUGCGGCGAUUUUAUCUCAUUCGAGACUUCGUUAACCGGGGUGAGAUCAAGAUAUGCAAAAUACACACGGAUCUGAACAUUUCUGAUCCGUUGACAAAACCACUCCCGCAGGCUAAGCAUGAUGCGCAUGUAAGAGCUAUGGGUAUUAGGUACCUUCUAGAUUGACUCUAGUGCAAGUGGGAGACUGUUGGAGGUAUGCCCUAGAGGCAAUCAUAGAGAUGAUGAUAUUCCACUUGUAUCCAUGAUUUGAAUAUUGUGUUCAUUGAAUAUCCAUUAAAGGCUACUUGAAUUGAUUUACAAUUAUGUGAAUUGUAUGUGAAACUCUUUACUUGUAUGGUUAUUCUAAAGUUGUCCCUAGUCGGAGUUCAUGUGAGGACACACAUGAAUAUUAGACUAGCACAUGUAUUAGUUGAUGACUAUGUUUCACAAGUCAUGGACAUGAAGAUGUUGAACUAAUAAUGUGGACACAUGUGGAGACAUGUGUUAGGACUGACCCAACACGAGAAGUAGUUCUCUCUUUAAACAACAUAUACGCUUUGUCCUUAGACCUGAGAUUGUCGCAUGUAUUCUAGAUGUGGAUCGACCUACUUAGGGGCUAUCAAACGCUACGCCGUAACAGGGUAGUUAUAAAGGUAGCUUUCGGGUUUGUCAAGAAGC
rnacentral:lncRNA from 1 species